UCUGGUUGAUCCUGCCAGUAGUCAUAUGCUUGACUCAAAGACUAAGCCAUGCAUGUCUAAGUCCAAGCUGUGUCUUGACACGGCGAUACCGCGGACGGCUCAUUAAAUCAGUCGUAGUCCAAAUGGGCCAGUACAUGAGUACUUGGAUAACUGUGGUAAUUCCAGAGCUAAUACAUGCAAUCGAUGCUCUGAGCUGGGGCUUCGGCACCAGUGACGAGUGCUUUUAUUAGACCAAACUGCUGGGGUAAGAGCCGGAUCACGUGUAGGCGUCCCUCACCUUGGUGUGUGUUCGUCCUGCGCGCCGUGUUUCUGCCUGAUUCGCUUUGUGGUGACUCUGGAUAACCAUUUUGACAAGCGCACGUACCUUCUUCGCAAGGACGGCGCUACCACUUUCGAGUGUCUGCCUUAUCAGCUGUCAACCGCUCGUUAUACGCGACCGAUGGCUUUGACGGGUAACGGGGAAUCAGGGUUCGAUUCCGGAGAGGCAGCCUGAGAGACGGCUACCACGUCCAAGGACGGCAGCAGGCACGCAAAUUACCCAAUCCCAGCACACGCUUGGGGAGGUAGUGACGAUGAAUAACGAAGCCUGCGCCCUUUAUGGGCCUGGCUAUCGGAAUGAACUGGCUCUAAAGACACUAGUGAGAACCUACUGAAGGGCAAGUCUGGUGCCAGCAGCCGCGGUAAUUCCAGCUUCAGUAGCGUCUAUUAAAGUUGCUGCGGUUGAAAGGCUCGUAGUUGAAUGUCAGUUCCGAGUAGCGGCUGGUGGACGCUGGAGUGGUGUUUUGCUUCCGCAUGCGCCCUCCCGUCCGUUUGAAUCCACCGCUCUCGUGUACAGAUGAUAGCGGGGUUGGGUGGGGCAGUGGCUUUCGGGCUGUUGUCUUGCCCUCUCCGAAGAUGUCACCCUGAGUAAAUCAGAGUGCUCAAAGCAAUCGUAAAGGGCCUGGCCCUGAAAGGAUACGGCGCGCGUGUGCAUCGUCCACCUCGGGCGUUCACUCUGCGUGACCAAUGGAUAGACUUGGUUUUGCAAGGUAUGUCGGAAUACGACACCGGGUGCUGGCUAACGGCUCGUAACAGUGGUAUAAGCCAGCCCCGGUGUAAUGAUUAAAAGGGCUUGUCGAGGGCAUUAGUAUUGCGGAGCGAGAGGUGAAAUUCUAUGACCUCCGCAAGACUUCCUGAAGCGAAAGCGUCUGCCAAGGAUGUUUUCAUUAAUCAUGAACGAAAGUUAGAGGAUCGAAGGCGAUCAGAUACCGCCCUAGUUCUGACCCUAAAUGAUACCAACCAUCAAUCCGCUGAGCACCCUUCUUGACGGGCUCGGCGGGCAGCUCCUUUUCACGGGAAACCAGAGUCUCUGGGUUCCGGGGGGAGUCUGGUUGCAAAGCUGAAACUUAAAGGAAUUGACGGAAAGGCACCACCAGGAGUGGAGCCUGCGGCUUAAUUUGACUCAACACGGGCAAACUCACCAGGCCAAGACUCUAGCAUGAUUGACAGAUUGAGAGCUCUUUCUCGAUUCAGUGGAUGGUGGUGCAUGGCCGUUCUUAGUUGGUGGUGUGAAUUGUCUGGCUAAUCCCGAUAACGAACGAGGCACUCACCUGCUAAAUAGUCGACUGAGUCUUUCAAUGAGAGUUCGCAGAUUGCCGGUUGGUCUUCCGCGUAGGAUCAGGCGGCGUGGUGGGUUUGUGGGACUGGCGGUGUGCCCCUCACGGGGUUGCGCUCCGUUCUGCUUUCUCCUGCGUGUCAGCCACUUGCGUGUGAGGGGGCCUUCUGGCCUGCACUCCAAGCUCGUCGGCCCUUGUGGUCUAUAAGAUUUCUUCUUAGAGGGAUAAACGGCUCCGAAGCCGUCAGAGACUGAGUGCAAUAACAGGUCUGUGAUGCCCUUAGAUGCCCUGGGCCGCACGCGCGCUACAAUGCUGGGCACAGCAGGUGUUUCAUCCUGCUCCGAGAGGAGCGGGUAACCCUCUGAAAGCCCUUAGCUUACCUUCCGGUUGUGCUUCACGGUGCACCGGAACAGCGUGCUUGGGCCUGGGGCUUGCAAUUAUUCCCCACAAACGAGGAAUGCCUAGUAGCGGCGGGUCACUGAGCCCGCCGUGACUGAGUCCCUGCCCUUUGUACACACCGCCCGUCGCUACUACCGAUUGGGUGUACCAGUGAGAGCCUUGGACAGGCGGAUCCGCUCUUCUCUUCGGAGCUCGAGUGGAAUCUCGACUGAAAGAGGUUCGAACUGGUGCACUUAGAGGAAGUAAAAGUCGUAACAAGGUUUCCGUAGGUGAACCUGCGGAAGGAUCAUUA
rnacentral:rRNA from 1 species